rnacentral:rRNA from 1 species
UACGAAGGGGCUAGCGUUGCUCGGAAUUACUGGGCGUAAAGCGCACGUAGGCGGCUUUCUAAGUCGGGGGUGAAAUCCUGGAGCUCAACUCCAGAACUGCCUUCGAUACUGGAGAGCUCGAGUCCGGGAGAGGUGAGUGGAACUGCGAGUGUAGAGGUGAAAUUCGUAGAUAUUCGCAAGAACACCAGUGGCGAAGGCGGCUCACUGGCCCGGGUACUGA